rnacentral:lncRNA from 1 species
AUGCUCGCAACUGCCACUACCCCUAUCACCUGGUGGUUGCCGAUCACAGCGCCCAAAUCCAAAGCACCCCGGCGAGCGCCCAGACGCCCAGCUUGGCUGUCUCGGCGCGGCCUCUUCUUCUCCGGCGAGUCCUUCGACCAGGUGAGUUCUCCUCCUUUUCUUUGUGUUGGAUUGAACCUUCGUAGCGCGUUCUUUUUUCGUCCUCGGCAAACUUGCCAUGCAGUUUCGUGACCGAAUUGUCCUGCGCGCGUUGUCUAGCUAAGUUGUCGCGCGCUGCUAUCCUCGCUCCAUCGAGCUUGCGCCUCCCACGCACGCAGCCGCGCCCUGCUUCUCCGACUUGGCAUGGCAGCCUGUUGCUCGGCCCCGGCCGACGUGCCCCCUGUGCCGCAGGCCGCUCGACCUGCUCCUCCGGCCUCCGCAUACAUGCUCCCCUGCGCAGGGCGUGGCGCGGCAGCCGGCCUGCGCGGUAGACACGCCAGCGCGGCGGCUCGCCCGCGUGCUCAGGCAUCCGGCCCUGGCUCCCUAGCCUUGGCGCCAUGGUCGGCCACUCGGCCAGGCUCCAGCCGCAGCGUGCCUAGGUGCCCAGCGCCCUCACCUCGGCUAUGGCCAUGGCCAGCCCCCAGCCUAGAGCACCGGCUCCCCCUCCCAUGCCCACGUCCCCUCCUUCUCCCUCCCCUUGCUGCUGAUUCCAUGGAGAAAGAUGGAUGAAGGAAGAAGAACUUCAUGCGAUUGGAUAUGAGAGAAGAAAAGUUCCGUGCACAUGAGAGAGAGAAAAGAAAACUGCCCACGUUUCAGCCUGACGUCAGAUCCUUUGUGGCUAUGUUCCCUAUGUCCCUAGGUGUGGCCCUGCAUGUGGCAAGUCUUCAGCCAAUUAUAUCACGCCACAUGUUUUUCAGUCCCCGGCUAAUUGGAUAUGCGUCAUUAUUUGCGUUAAAUAUUCGUUUUAAUUCAUUCGAGUCAUGUUAGCUUCGUAAUAACGUUGACAACAUGUUAAUAACAUUAUUCUGUUCGUACACAAGUUUUAAUUAAUUAGUUAAUUAUUUGUUCAUCUGAUAUUUAUUAAAAUAUCAAUAUAAUUAAACUAAUCUAUAAUUUUAAUUUGCGCUUUUAUAAAUACAAAUUAAUGUGAUUAAUGCCAACUUUAAUGUUUUCAACUAAUAUUUGUUUCAUGUAAAAGCGACAUCUAUUUGUGAUUUUCGCGUUUCUUCGUGCAUGGCGCGCGUGCUAUUCGCGCACGUCAUAGCGCGUCGGCCACGCGCUGUUUUCAAGCAUUGUCGUGUGUCGCGCGCACGAUCCACACACAUUAGUUAAUCGUUUCGCUAUAGUCGUUCAUGCUUAUUAAUUAAUUCUUGUUUAAUCGUUGACUAAUCGAUAAUUCUAUUUAUCUAAAAUAUCUUACGCAAAUAAUUUUGUGCGUUUAAUCACAAUUUAGUAGUAUUCGUUGGUAGCGUCGUCGUUUGUUAGUCGCAAAUGGUCAGUUAUUUGAUAUAUAAUGCGUCGUAAACCCAUUUCUACUCGUCUUGGUCGCGUGCUGAGUCGCUCGUCGUUCACGCGUGCCGCGAGCAUUGUUUCGUGUAUGUCGUGCGCAUUGCCGCACGCGUUAUUAAAUGGUUCCAUGUUAGCUGCUCGUAUUAACUAAGUAAUUCUCGUUCAAUUGUCGAGUAAUAAAGUAAUUGUUCAAUCGGAUCGAAUUUAUGAGUUUAAUUAUGCGAUUGUAAAUACAUAGUAAUGUGAUUUUUAACCACUUAGAUGUUGUAUGGAAUGUCUAGUUAGUGUUUAGUAUAAAAACAACAGUUCAAUCGAAUCUAGUUUAUAAUUUCAAUUAUGCGUCGGUAGAUAUUUGGUAACGUGUUGUCAUGCGUGUCCGUCUCCCGUUGUUCCGCGCAUGUCAUGUGUGUAGUCGUCGUCUAUUUUCUUGUUCGUGCGCGCGCCGCCAUGCGUCCGGUCCGCAUGUUAAAUCAUGUGUUGUUUUGCACGUGUCGUUCAUGUAAAUCGCAAUUGGCACGCUUCAAUAGGAUCACUUCGCCAUAUCGUUCAUGUUAAAUACUUGAUUAAUUGUUUAGUAUUCAGUUAUUAAAGUAAGAAUUUAAUUAGAACGAGUCUAUAGUUUUAACUCGUGCUUUUAUAAAUACAAAUGUUAAUUGACUCGGUUAAUACCAGCUUAAAUACUUUUAUUUAUUCGUUUGUUGUUGUUCGCACGCUGCAUCGUUUGCGCGUCAGCGUGCUGUUCGCGCACGUAGUCGCGUUGACUCGCGUGUAUCACGCACGGUUGUGUGCGUUGUUUCGCGUACGCGCAGCGUGGCGUCGGGGUCCCGACGACAUCCGUCUACCCCUAGACGACGUUCGUCUACUGUAGACGACACCCGUCUACCCCCUGAACCCGUUCGUCUACCCCUUCGUCUACCCCUGGAACAUCGUUUGACUUUAAAAUCUAAUUUAAGAAUUCGAUUUGCACCAACAUGAUUAAUCUUAACUGAAAUAUUCUUUGUUAAUAAUUGCUUAGAUUAAUCAUGCUUUUAUUUAUUAGUUUUUCAUGUAGCUUGCCUUGCCACGCGUCUGGUUCGUGUGUCGCGCGACGUCUGCGUGUGAUAAUAAAUUAGUUUCGUUUGUAACUCAUGUUGGUAACGUUAACUUGUCGGGUCGCUUAUUUUAGAUAAUUAACUUAAGGUUUGCUCGGCUAAUAUUCAUUAGACUAAUAUUUAUAACUAUAUUAAAUGUGUAGUGUUCCACGUGAGCUUUUAUAAUAAAUAUUAUCAUGGCUAGUAUUAACUUAACUACUUUUAUUUAUUAAAUAUUUGUUUAGUACAAAUGCGUUACCUAUUUUAUUUUCUCGCCUGUCGCGCGUGCUGUUCCACGCGUGGUGGCGUCCUCGUUUGCGCUGGUCGAGCGUUGUUUCGUGUGUCGUCAGCGUGCUAUGUCGCGCGUGUCCGCGCGUCGUUUGCACGCUGUCGUGCUGUUUCACGCGUCAUAAAUUCAUCUCGCAGAAUCUAUCAUUUUAAUUAAAUUAUUUAAUUAACAGACAUUUGUUAGCGUAUCAGAUUAAUCGAAACUAACUGAUGUAUAAUAUUUAUGUUUGAUCAUGUUGAACUAAAAGUUGUUGUUAAUACUUGUUUAACGUUAACGCGCUAACUUCUCAACUGUAACUUCGAGUUCGACGUUUCUUUCCCUCGCGUGACCAUAGAAUCGAGCUCUAUUUUAUGCUGCAUGUUUUUAUAACAAUUUAUCAUGUAUGGUGUAAUGUUCUUAUGCAUAUACAUAUGUUUGUUUGUUUGUGCCUGUUGGUAUUCGUUGUGCGUCGCAAAUAGUUUGCGAUCCGUUUCCGAGCUUCGAGAGAUCGAAGGUCAAGCUUUGGUGACCAAGUGAUCAAGCUCCUCGAGCUCUACGAGAUUGAAGAUUCUGAGCAUCUGUUUGGUG